UACGGAGGGUGCGAGCGUUAAUCGGAAUUAUUGGGCGUAAAGGGUGCGUAGGUGGUUUAUAAGUUAGUUGUGAAAUACCCGGGCUCAACCUGGGAAAUGCGACUGAUACUGUUGAACUGGAGUAUGGGAGAGGGUAGUGGAAUUUCCGGUGUAGCGGUGAAAUGCGUAGAGAUCGGAAGGAACACUGGUGGCGAAGGCGACUACCUGGCCUGUUACUGACACUGAGGCACGAAAGCGUGGGGAGCAAACAGG
rnacentral:rRNA from 1 species